GACAGAGGUGCCAAGCGUUUAGGCGGAAUCACUGGGCUUAAAGCGUGUGUAGGCGGGCGAUCAAAGUACCUUGUGAAAUCCCACGGCUCAACCGUGGAACUGCUGGGUAUACUGGUUGUCUUGAGCCAGCUAGGGGCGAGCGGAACAGACGGUGGAGCGGUGAAAUGCGUAGAUAUCGUCUGGAACGCCGAAGGUGAAAACAGCUCGCUGGGGCUGCGCUGACGCUGAGACACGAAAGCCAGGGGAGCGAACGGG
rnacentral:rRNA from 1 species